UACAGAGGGUGCUAGCGUUGUUCGGAAUUAUUGGGCGUAAAGGGCGCGUAGGCGGCCCUGUGUGUCGGGUGUGAAAGCCCACCUCUUAAAGGUGGAAUUGCAUUCGAAACUACAGGGCUGGAGUGUCGGAGAGGAUGGCGGAAUUCCUGGUGUAGAGGUGAAAUGCGUAGAUAUCUGGAGGAACACCGGUGGCGAAGGCGGUUCUCUGGGAAUAUCCUGACGCUGAGGAGCGAAAGUGUGGGGAGCGAACAGG
rnacentral:rRNA from 1 species